rnacentral:lncRNA from 1 species
GUUUCUAUAAUGACCCAACCCACAAGAAAUAAUAACUCAUGUGGGCCCAAACCAUCGGUCCAAAAUACUUGAGCCCAGUUAUUAUUACUAGCGUGUAGGCCUCAUAUAUUCUAAUCAGAAUCAGUUUUCCACCCGAUAUGGGACUAUUGGGGUGUUACAAACUCUCCGUAUUUAAACCCUGACUUUCUCGUCGGGUCCAAACUAGAUCACAGAUACAGACCAAAAUUACCAGGCGAUGUGAGGUUCUAGAAAUAGCUCCUCCAGGAUCAAGAGGUGGCUCCCACCAAACCCGUUUAGUGUAGCACAUUGCCCCGCAUAGCACUUAACUCUCACACUUCCGGCUAGUAUUCGACUCUAAUACCAAUUAUAACAACUCGACUCGCCAGCAAUAUUAACUCGUUGAGACCAAACUACCGGCCCAAAAUACUUAAGCCUAGUUAUUACUACUAGCGUGUAGACCUCAUAUAUUCUAAUCAGAAUUAGUUUAUAAUGACCCAACCCGCCAGCAAUAAUAACUCAUUGGGCCCAAACCACCGGCCCAAAAUGCUUAAGCCCAGUUAUUAUUACUAACGCGUAGGCUUUAUAUAUUUUAAUCAGAAUCAGUUUUCCAUNUGUUCACUAGUAGUUAUGAGGCUAACAUGUGAUAGGUCGGCACCGUGGUUCCACCCGUGGACAGUUUCUAUAAUGACCCAACCCACAAGAAAUAAUAACUCAUGUGGGCCCAAACCAUCGGUCCAAAAUACUUGAGCCUAGUUAUUAUUACUAGUGUGUAGGCCUCAUAUAUUCUAAUCAGAAUCAGUUUUCCACCCGAUAUGGGACUAUUGGGGUGUUACAAACUCUCCGUAUUUAAACCCUGACUUUCUCGUCGGGUCCAAACUAGAUCACAGAUACAGACCAAAAUUACCAGGCGAUGUGAG